rnacentral:rRNA from 1 species
GACGAACGCUGGCGGCGUGCUUAACACAUGCAAGUCGAACGGAAAGGCCCUGCUUUUGUGGGGUGCUCGAGUGGCGAACGGGUGAGUAACACGUGAGUAACCUGCCCUUGACUUUGGGAUAACUUCAGGAAACUGGGGCUAAUACCGGAUAGGAGCUCCUGCUGCAUGGUGGGGGUUGGAAAGUUUCGGCGGUUGGGGAUGGACUGGCGGCUUAUCAGCUUGUUGGUGGGGUAGUGGCUUACCAAGGCUUUGACGGGUAGCCGGCCUGAGAGGGUGGCCGGGCACAAGGGUACUGAGAGACGGCCCAGUCUGGUAUGGUAGGCAACAGGGGGGAAUAUGGCACAAUGGGCGGAAGCGUGAGGCAGCGACGCCGCGGUCGGAAUGACGGUCUUCGGGUUGUAAACCGCUUUCGCCUGUGACGAAGCGGGAGUGACGGUAAUGGGUGAAGAAGCACCGGCUAACUACGUG